rnacentral:rRNA from 1 species
UACAGAGGUCUCAAGCGUUUGUUCGGAUUCAUUGGGCGUAAAGGGUGCGUAGGUGGCGCCGUAAGUCAGGUGUGAAAUUUCGGAGCUUAACUCCGAAACUGGCAUUUGAUACUGCGGUGCUUGGAGGACUGGAGAGGAGAGCUGGAAGUUAACGGUGUAGCAGUGAAAUGCGUAGAUAUCAGGAGGAACACCGGUGGUGUAGACGGCUCUCUGGACCGUAACU